rnacentral:rRNA from 1 species
GAUAGAUGUAAUGUCCUGGAAUGGUAUUACGUCUAAAGGUAUUUCAUACAUGUUUGAAAUAUGCCUAAGGAUGGGGCUGCGGCCGAUCAGGCUGUUGGUGAGGUAAUGGCUCACCAAACCUUUGACCGGUACGGGCCAUGAGAGUGGUAGCCCGGAGAUGGACACUGAGACAAGGGUCCAGGCCCUAAGGGGCGCAGCAACCGCGAAACCUCCACAAUGCACUCACGUGCGAUGGGGCUAUCUCGAGUGCCACCUGAUGAAGGUGGCUUCUCCUUGGUCUUCAAAGCCUUGGGAAUAAGAGGGGGGCAAGACUGGUGUCAGCCGCCGCGGUAACACCAGCCCCUCGAGUGGUGGGGAUGAUUAUUUGGCCUAAAGCGUCCGUAGCCGGCCGAGCAAGUCUUCCGUUAAAUCCAGCGUCUCAAGCGUUGGACCGCGGGAGAUACUACACGGCUAGAGAGUGGGAGAGGUCAGCGGUAUUCUGGGGGUAGGGGCGAAAUCCUUUGAUCCCCGGAGGACCACCAGUGGCGAAGGCUGCUGACUAGAACACGUCUGACGGUCAGGGACGAAAGCUGGGGUAGCGAACCGGAUUAGAUACCCGGGUAGUCCCAGCCGUAAACGAUGCAUGCUAGGUGUUGGGUUGGCCACGAGCCACCCCAGUGCCGCAGGGAAGCCGUUAAGCAUGCCGCCUGGGAAGUACGAUCGCAAGAUUGAAACUUAAAGGAAUUGGCGGGGGAGCACCACCAGGCGUGAAGCCUGCGGUUUAAUUGGAUUCAACGCCGGA